rnacentral:lncRNA from 1 species
AGCAUUACCCGUUGAUGUUUCGUGUUUCUGCAAAGAAGGCACUGGAGGUGUACUUCCAGAAAAGUUCACAUGUGUCGCAAUUGCAUCCAAAGGUGGCAUUGGUUCAGCCAAUAAGCCAAGACGAUUUAUUUCAGCAGAUAGGGCAGGUUUUGCAACUAUCAAAGAAUUGUACAUUGAGGAACCUUUAUCCCACACCAUGCUCUCCAAAAGCCUCUCUUCCAGAGAAUUUAGAUGCCGCCUCAGUUCUCUUGGUAGAGACUCCUCAUGUCUAAUAAAACUCUCUAUCACCUUGCUCAAAUCAAAGGCUGUAAUACCAGUUCUCUCAAGUACUGUAGGAAACAACAUUGUGGCAGUCUUAUGUGUCGCCAGCACUAGUUCAGCAGAACAAGCAAGCAUACAUCUGUGAAACCUCUCAUUAGUUAAUAAAGAGGUCAAAUUAGGUGCAUGUAAUAUUUGGGCCUCAGCAGUACACAUAGCUUCCAAAACCCUAUAGUACAACUUAAGUGCCUCCAGUAUUCGUUGUUCCAUCCAUAUGUUAUCCAUCAGGUUUACACUCUGAAGGCUUCCAGUUACACUACACUCUUGAUUUCUAGGAAAUAUUGCCUCCAAUAUUAUAUGCGCCCUACAGAUCACAUCAUUGGUAACAUCUUUAUCACAAGAUGAUAAAAAACGCUGCAACUCAGCUGAAGGUUUUGAAGGAAGAGGACAAAUAACAGAACGAAGCCAUUUCGCAGUUGUCAUUGCAGCGCUGACCGGUGUAGCUGCCAUCUUUGCACUUGGUGGCCCAAGGACACCAUUUGCAUGAGAUGCAGGAGGGCGUUGAGGAGACAGCGGGCUUGAGAUCGACUUUGAUGGUGAAGCUACUGAAUCAAAUUUCCUCUACUCAAAACAGAAUAAAUGCUUUCUUAAAUAAACUGACUGCUAAGUAAAGCAUAAAAACUAAAAAGUAAAAUGCAUUUUCUCAAAUUUGAAACAGACCUUGAUACCAGUAACAUUCAUGGUCCCUCCAGAAAAGCUCCCUAAACCAAGUAAACUAUCUUCAUCGUUUACAAACACCCUCUCAUCCAAAUCACCUUUAUUACAAAUUGCAUUAUCGUAAUCCUUCUCUAACAUAUUUAAACUGGAUGAAAGAGAUUUUUCCUCCAUUAAACCUUCAAAAUAGAUCAAGCUAUCUGCAUCAAAGAAGAUCAGGAAAAUUAGAAGCAAAACAGACGCAAGCAUGCUGCCAAAAUUGCAUUCAUGACCUAUUUGACGAACCGGUAUCAAUAUUUUCCAGUGUUUCAGUUUUGCACUCAGCUGCAGGACAUGGCUUUUUUUUCAAUAUGUCCUCUAUUAACUUAUUGGCCGUCUCCAUUUUUUUCCUCAAAUCAUCUUCUGAAGCAUCAUACAUGUUGCAAAGUGACGCAAGCAAGUCGACACCUUUGUCACCUUUCUUAACUGAAUGAUUGCAUGUCAAAGAAGUCAACAAUGAGGAACGCCAAAAUUUUACCCCCACCAGGAAAGGAAAAUAAAAAGAAUGUAAAUGAGCAAGGACUAAACAACAGUGAAGAAUGCUGGACAGAAUAAAAGAUAAAGACCAAAGAAGAAUCACAAAUGUAUUCUCUUUAUUGAAAAGGACAGAUCUAAAAAUUUGACAGCCAUGAAGAGCAGAUAAUUACCAAAAUGUGGAGAGUCAUUGAUCUUGAAGUUUCUGAAGCGAACAGGAACAUGUAUAAUCAAGAUAGCCUGUUGACAAUCGCAUUAAAUAGUAAGAAAACAUUAAACUCUCCAUUAUUGAUCAAUGUGCUAUGAAUGUACAAGGAUAGAGUGCAUCAAAGACAACAGCAUAGUUGAGUUGAAUCUUUUGAAGCACAUUUAAUUGUAACUCUCUACCUUUGCAUUCCAUUUGAUAAUUAUUAAAUUAAUCCAUUACACAUACAAAUAAUAUCAGAACAUGUUUCACCAUAAGAAAGAGAUGACAUGUUAUUCCUUAGUAAAACCAAGUGUCUACCCAAAUCAACUAGUAAUAAAGCAACAGAAAUGCGUAACUGACCAGUAUAGAAACAAAACCGUUUGCACAAGUCACUAGGUCUUUAAAACGACUGAAUGCGUGCACGCGGAGUGCCAAAAACAGUAACCAUCCAAAUCGAUGACACUCUGAUACAUAAUCUGACGAACUGGUAGCAUUUUGCUGCUUGUCAAUAUUUGCAUCACUUGUCAAGAAGAGUUCCCAAAAUGCACGCUUGUAUGACCUUUUUAUACCAUUAAAACAGCAAGAUGCAGAUGUUAUUUACUUCACAAAAUGGAAAAUUAUACACAGUAACCACAAAAUUGAGGUUUUGAGGAUACAGCUGCUCGAAGAAAAAAAAUUUAUAGCAUGCGCGAUACAAAUUGUGUAAUAUAUUAUUUCAAAUAUAAUUCUGCAAUCUGCGUAAGUGAGAAUUUCAAAUUUAUAUCACUAUCUUAACUUUAAUUUUAUCAUCCGUCUGGAGAAGACAACAGUCAAAACAUGCCAUAAACAAGGGCACAUGACCAGUUACUUUUAUAAUUAUGGCAUGUGUAUGGAUGUAUUACAUCAUUAUUGUAUUUUUGCUUUAUGGAGGAUAAAUACUUGAUAAAACCACCACAAUUAGGCCUCCUCCAGCAAAUUUUAGGCAAGGUUCGAGACGAAAUAUGAAAGUAAACUGCAACUCUAACCCUUAUAGAACAUAAGUUGACGAACCAGAAGCUAUAUACCUUUUUCACCAGUGUGAUUUUGUGCAUUUAAAACUAACCCAUCAAAUUUAGCACAUUGUAGCCCUAUUAAAGAUUAGGGGAGAAAUGCUAAUACAAUUACAAAGCUAUUUGCACAUAUUAUCUUUAUAACCUAGGUUAUAAAAGAAGGGUACCUACUUGCUUAAAAGGCUCAAGUGCACAAAAUUGGCCUGCAUCUCCGUACCCUAAUUGAUAUAAUUACCAAAAGCAGAUAGUCAGGUCGAAGUGACAUGGCCGUACAAUUUUUAAAAAAUAUAGACAAAAUAGAAAACAAGCGGAAACAUAAAUCUAUAUUCUUUCAAUACCUCAAGUCGAGUCGCACAAUCUUCACCAUACAUGUUACGUAAAACGGGACCAGCUUUUACCACAAACUGAGGCAACUCCUUAAAAAAAUCCACGAUACUGCAAAAAUAAAAUAAACUCACUAUCAUUGAAAUGGUUAUUGAUCGCAAAAGUUACCCUUACAUACACAAAAUUAACAGUAUCAUACUUCAGCUUUGUAGCUCUCAAUAUCUGGCAAAACGAAAACCCACUUUCAUCAGACUCUUGUUGCGUAUUUUCUCCAAUCUUUUCACUCAGCCGCUUGAGCGAAUAUAAGACAAAUGAAAACCAAAAUCGCUCUGCUUCUUCCAGCUAAUCAGAAUAAAUGCAACAAAGUUAUUUAAUUAAAAAGCAACUCCCUUUCGUAAUUUUCAUAUAAAAGGAAGUUAAAAUAAUAAUAAAAUAAUAAUAAUCUACCGUUCCGCUUCCAAUUGAUGAAACAUUUGACGUUAAAAGGUGUUUUGUUUCUUUGAAUAGCUUCAUAGCAUUUGAACAAGCUUUCUCAUCCAGAGAUAACCCAUUCUGGAAAUCAGGAACACAUAACGCUAAAAAACACAAAAAAGAAAAUAGAAAUACUUGAAAUAAUAUUACUGGAAAUAACAAAUCACUACCUUGCACAAAGCAUUGAAUCUAGCUUCAACGGCAUCGCCAUCUGUGCCACCAGAAGUUGCAACUGAAGGCUUCGUGUCUUCCAUAUUUAUUAAUAACCCUAGUAGUGGAUCUCAAAGUUAUCAAUUUCAGAAAAGUUCAGGAUUCAAAUCUCUCCAACAAUUUUACUCUUAAUCAGCAUAUACGAGAUUAAACUAGCUAAAUCUAUAAAUACAUAACAGCAACUUAAACCUCCGCCUCAAAAUAAAAGUUUAUGCCAACAUUUCAAAAUUUCUAGCUAUUAAUAUACAAUUAAAAAGUAAUAAUCAGUAAAAAAAUCAUUUAUACUUCAGGAAAUGGCGAACUACUUUUCAAGAGUGACAAGCAAAAAGUUGAAAAAAAAUAAAACAUUAUUCAAAGAAACCUUACAAAAUUUAGGCUUGAAAUUAGGUUGAGAUCUCGGAUCUAACGAUCCAGCAAACCAGAAACCCUAGCUUCAAAUUCCCCGCCCAAAACAUAGCGUUUUAAGGGAUCGAGAAAAAAGAAAAAGGGAAAAAAAAUCGUUCUUUAAUAAUUUGGAUUAAGAACAAUAAUCCUAAAAUUUCCCCUUUUUUUCUUAUAUAUUUUCGCCCUUCUUAACCUUGGGUUUCUUUUUGUGGAAAACCCUAUCAACGAAGGAUCUUUCCCUCUUUAGCGCGGGAAAAUUAACCAACAUAACAUCAUGAUGGAUAUGCACCAUGCACAUGACAUUCAUAGCUAGCCAAUUAUUUUUUGACGCGUACUGUUGCCGCCAUUGGAUUUUACCGCCAAAAUCCAUUAACAUCUAGCCGUAACGGAGAUUCCCGUUUUGGAAAAGAUCGGUAAAGGAUUCGCGUUUUCUCCGUCACGGUGAAUUUAACGGAGAGUUGGUGAGUUGGGCCGAGCAGUUGUCGGAGUCUUGAAAAUUGGGAAGAGAUAGUGUCAGGUAGACUCGUGUGAGUAUGGGGCCCACUGAAAGGGUUUUUUUUUUAUAGUGUCGUUUAGCGGUAAGAAGUUGUGUCGUUUUAUGUGAGUGAAAUGUUACGAUGAGUGCAUUCACAGAGACUUUUCUGUAGGACCACGUCACUGAUGCUUAGGCACGUAAGGCCUUACACCUUACAUUAUAAGCGUACACCAUUUUAUGUACAAAAUUAUUCUCUCACUAAAACAUUUGGAGUAAUUGAAAAGAAAAUUAUGAAAUGUAGUUUGGUGGUUGAUUUCUUUUAAUCAUGAUAUUAAAUAUUUAGUCUCUGUUUAAAAGAAUAAAACACAUUUCAUAAUUAUUUAUUUAUUUAUUAAGAGAGUAUCUGCACCUUAACUCGAUUUGUAUGAGCAAUGUUGCUAAUGCAGAAGGAUGUGAGUUCGAAUGCGUUGAAACCAGUACAACUAAUUGAAAAGAAAAUUAUGAAAUGUAGUUUGGUGGUUGAUUUCUUUUAAUCAUGAUAUUAAAUAUUUAGUCUCUGUUUAAAAGAAUAAAACACAUUUCAUAAUUAUUUAUUUAUUUAUUAAGAGAGUAUCUGCACCUUAACUCGAUUGGUAUGAGCAAUGUUGCUAAUGCAGAAGGAUGUGAGUUCGAAUGCGUUGAAACCAGUACAACUAAUUUCAAGAACAACAUGAACUAGAUAGGUAUUGCCAACGGGAGGACCAUCCUACCACCUCUGGCAUUGUUGCUUGCAAAAGGUGGAUUGAGUUGUUUCCUCCUCCAGAGGCUGGUUAUCCCUCUUGUCAGUGUCCCUAGAUGUUCUAACCUCAUACUAGGCAGUCUUCCAAGUCCAACAAGCGUUGUUCCUGAAACUAGUCGUGCUGCUUAAAGAGUUGAGCUAAGGUGGCGCAUCUUCUCCUACAUUUCUGUGCCUUACUGUCGGGAGCCAGAGUUUUGAUGCUGAAUAUUUUUAUGAAAAAUGUAUUCCAACAUGGAUUUGGAAAAACCAAAACCUCAAAAUCAUCAUGCAUGUUGGAUUAAAUUUUGUUUUUGGUUCCUCUACAGUAUGGUUUACAAUGCCAAUCCUUGUAUGGUUAGCUUGUUUUCUCCUUACCAAAAACAGUGGAUUUCAGUGGGAAUCUGAGUUUCCUGUUUUUGCUUAGUUUUUGGAUUCCACCAACUCAUGAUAAAUUACCGAUGGCCAAGUUAUCCUAGGGAACACUUUAGCUUUAAACUUCUCAUUCAUGUGUUAUGUCAAUAAGAAUGAAGGAACAGUACUAAUAACAUGAUUUGUGUACCUCUGCAUCAAAGUUGAGAAUCAAUUUCUAAGCCUUCUGAUAUUGAUGAUGUUUUUUUUACGUGGUGUAGGUAAACAUUUUUAUCUAAAAAAAAAGCUAUAUGAAGAAAACAAAAGUGCACACCCCAAAAUGAAAGUUUUAACUUAAAAAAAAUCACGAAAAAUAGUAUCUAAAUUAUAAAUGUUAAUAUAAUAUAAGAAUCUAAUCUAAUAUAUAUAUAUAUAUAUAUAUUUAGACGUAAAAGAGAUAACUUAAUAGUUAAGAUAGUCUUUUUUUAAAUUGUAAAAAUUAAAUAAAAAGAGAGAAAUGCCACUUGGCGCUAUAUGGGCUUCUGUACCUUAUUAUAUUAUAUAUAUUAUUUGUUACUUUAUGAAACAUGAAAGCAAAAAAACAUAUACUUGCACUAGACUUGAAACGGGAGCCCAAACCAAAAGUUUCAAAAAUUGAAGGACUUAAUAUAUAUAAAUAUACACUUUUAAAAUUUUAGGGGGAUCGGAGCCUUUACCUACCCCACAUCGACCACUUCUUCGAACUUUUUACUCUUUCUAGAUUAAUCACAUAGUUUAAAAUAGAAUUCACCAAUUGUCUCAUUUUCCUGCAUCCUUAAGGUUUCAAACUUAAUAGUCAGUAUUUUGCAACUUUGAUUGCAUAACUGUAUUUUUAACCUUAUGUGUUGUUUCAAGGAUAUCCAAACCUCAUUGGCAUGGUACACUUAGAAAUCCUCUUGAAUUAUUAGGCAUCCUCACCACAAAAAAAAUUGCAUUAAGAGCCUUUGAAUUCGCAUUAGCAAGUUUCUCCUCUUAGUGGUCCAGGUCAACUCAAACUUAGGUGUAUUGACACUAGAGGCUUUAGUGAAUGGGUGCUCCCAAUCAGUAACAACAAAUCUUCAGGCUUUUUCAUCCAUAGACUUGACGAAAGUCGUCAUUCUAGUUUUCCAGUAGGCAUAGUUCUCACCAUCUAACAUGGAGGGAUGGGACAUUGAUGAUCUUUCCAUUUCAAGCAAAUAUCAACACUAAGAAUUUUACUUGAUGUGCUAAGUGGGAGUUUUUUUACCAAUUGUUAAGACUUACAACGAUAUUUGUAAAAAAAAAUGAAUAGUGCUACGAGUAAUGCCAACUACUUCAAGCACUGAUGAAGAACAAAGAUGAACUCAAUGAUAUGUUUAUGUAGUUUGAUUUCUAUAUGUCUAUGAGGACUUGCCCAAAUAGAUAAUUCACUACCUUAACAACUCGUACAACAAGUGAUUAUAAGGACUAAUACUCACCAAAUUAGCAACCUCACUUUUGCAAUUAAGAUCUAGAUUUCUCUAUUCUAAGUUUUCUUCCUGAAACAUAGGGUGAAAACCAAGUAAUUCACUACUUAUCACACUCAAUGCACUCAAAAUUACAAGUUCCUUACUGAACAAAUAAGUGCUCAAUCUCUAUGUGAAUAACCUAUACACAUCUCAAGUAUUUAAACUACUUUCGAUUUGUUAACAUACUAGAUCAAUUAGAAUCGAUCUUCCCAUCAAUAAAGCAAGAUAAUUAGCAUGGAGAAUAUCUUCAAUGAGUCCAAGAUAUGUCUUUUAAUUUUCACUAUAUGUUACCAGGUUACUUGGUCUGAUCCAAUCUCCUUAAACUAGGGAAGACAAUUUGCUUGAUCCAAUCCAUACCAAUCUUCAAGAUAUAUUAAUACAAUUGAUUUGGAUAUCAUAGAUGGGCUUACACACAUCCAAAGUAUUAGUAAAGAUCAUAGCUUAAUAAGUUUUUAUUUACAAAAAUUGUCAACUCUAAAUAUGACAAGUUAUGAGGGUAAGUAGUUCUAAAUAGCAGUGAGCACUACUCUAAGCACUCGUAACUACCUCAACAUGAUUUAUAUAAAAAAAUUAAAAAUUAAAAUAAUGAUUAAAUUGAAUAAAAUAAAAUAAAAAUCUAGGGAUUUAUUCCAACAUUAUCAAUAUUGAAUUAUGGAAAAUUUAAUUAAAAACAGUGUAGUGUACCUUGCAUUUUUCAGAUCCUUUCAAGAACUUUUUGUCACCAGCAUCACAACAUGAGGACGUCAGAAUUGCAACACCUCCAACAGGCAACGACAUCACAACGAGAAGGCUUCUAACGUCACGAUGAGGAGGUUUCCGACAUCACAACGAGGGCGAAUAUGACGUCGGGACAACACGACUUUUUCCCCAAGUAACUCAUCCGUGAUUUACAGCAAAGCGGGGUUACUUUUCCCAGUUAAACUCUAAUCACUUCAGCAUAAUUCUAGUCAUACUAGGUCACAAAUGUUAGCCUAUUUAAAGGCAACAGUAACACUAGAAUUUAUAUAUAGAAAAUACAAAAUUGAGAGGAAAAAUAAGAGUUUUGCAGGAAUUUAGUAAGAACUUUAUAUUUUGGCUUCAUGUUUGUUUUGAUUUUCUAUCUUGUACUCUUUCGAUUUUGCUCAUUAGUGAAGUUUUCUUUUUUCGUGGCUUUUAUCCUCUUCAUCCGAGGAGUUUUUCUACGUAAAUAUUUGUUUCUCUAUUUCUUAUUUCUCGUUGUUUAUACGGGUCGAACCCCAACUAAAACAUUGCAAAAUUCAAGUAUUAAAUUAAAUAAAACAUGAAUCCUGUAAGGAUAUUUUUGGAAUAAUAUCAAGCUAGGAUUUGUCGAACAAAAAAAGAGAGGCUAAAUUGAAUAUGUAUUUAUAGAAUAAAUUUAUUAAAUACAAUCCAUUCAUGCAUUGCAGGGUUAAAAAACUAAUAUAUAUGGUAAAAUAAGGUAAAAAAACUCUUAUGUGACAUCAUAAAAUUAUGACAGUAUAUAUUUUCAUCAAUUAUAAAAUUAAUACAACUAUUUUUUUGUAACAUUUGCAAUGCACAUGAAAAUUUUAUUUAUUUAAAUUUGUCCCUAUUUUUAAAUAAAACAUUAUGUUUUUCUUAAACCUAAACUUCCCAUAUUUUUAAAGAUAUCAUCAAACUAAUUUUUAAUAACUAAAAAAUUAACUACCACACACAUUUCAUUAAAAAAAAUUACAUAUAAAAAAUAAUUUAUCAUUGAUCGCUUGUUUAUAACAAUUAAUAAAAGUUUGUCUAUUAAUAAAAUUGUAAAGUGAAACUUUAACCCAUAUUUAUAAUUUUAAAUAUGUAAUAUAGCACUUUGAUAAUAAUUAAUUUGUUACAAAAUUAUAAAAUUAGCUCAAAUAAUGUUUACAAUGUGCUCAUAUAUAAGAAAAUUUUAAAUUAAGUUAAUAAUGUUUGCAGUCAGAUAAUAAUAAUAAUAAUAAUUGUUAAAAUUUUAUUUUAACUUAAAUAAUGUUGCAUAGAUAAUUAGAAAUUUUAUAAAAAAAUAAAUUAGGUAAUUUAAAAUGUAUAUAAACCGAGACAAAUAAGAAAUUUAAAUAUAUAUUUAAAAUUUAAUAUAUAUAUUGUACAUUUUAGAUAAUUAGAUAACUUCUUUAAAAUCUUAAAAUUAGAUGAUAAUUUGAAUUAUGUGCCGUUAAACAAACUAAGCAUAAUAAUUUAUUUGAUUCUUCAAUUUUACAAAAAAAAUUAAAACUAUUUUAAACCUCCAUUUAUUUUUUUUCAUUUUUUCAUGUAAUUAGCUUUUUAACUAGCAUUAUUUGCAAAAUCGCCAUAAACAGAUAAAAUAAAUUUAUUAGCUUUAUUGACGUAACAUUCACAUGUAUGUCACAUUAAUAAUUAAUUAAUUUCUAAAAUUAAAAAAAUUAUAAAAUUAUUUUAAAAAUUAAAAAUUAUUUUAAAACAUAUAAAAAUAUUUUUAUAUAUUUUUAAAAUUUUAAAAGUUCAUUAGUUGUUGCGUGACAUACAAGUCAACUAUCACGUGAAUGGUUACAAACAUUAAUAUUUUCAUUCAUUUAAGAUGAUUUGACAAGUGAUACAAGUCAUAUAUUUAUAUCCCUCCUUUUAUCACCUUUACCUUAGAAGAUACUGUUAAAAAAGAAAUUGACCUCAAAAAAUCUCCUAAAACAAUCCCAAAGAAAAUUACCCCCUUCAAGGAGCACUGUGAUUCCGAUAUAAAUGAUGAUCAAACAGCGGUACUAUUUGGCUACAACCAGGUAAAGAAAGGCAAAACUUUAUUCAAUUUGUUAGGCCAAGCUUCAAAGUACUGUUAGCUAACAUCAGUGAACACAUUGGGAAGGUGGUGGCUAUUCUACAGUAACACACCGCUCAUACGUACCUCGUGUGAUGAACUUACAUUCAUACAUACGAUCUAACAAGAAUACAGGAGAGGGGAAGAAUAUACAAGGAAUAAGAGCGCGCUGGGCUAAGAUUCUGGUUGCUCGGAUUUUAAAGGUGCACCGGAUGAGGAUGCACAGCUCCCAUUUUGCAGGUAAAGGCUAUUUGCAACCAUAGAAUCACUAACCAAGCCGACAUCAACAUCGUCGAAGUUGAGUGCCCCUCUGAUCUUCCUGCCACUGGAAGCAGCAAAGCAAAUGGCAGCUUCAUUAGUUAAGUACAUCACGAUAACUUUGGUGAAUGUACUUGGUAGGUCCUUUUUAUUAUAUGGACCAGAUUAAAUUAGCCUAUCUAAGAUCAAUUUAGUCUUUGUAUUAUUAAAAAGAAUCAAUUAAGGCCAAAUUUCAACAGAGUUCAUAUUUACUAUUUAAAAAAUGUCAUUUUCUACUCAACUAAGUUAUAUUUUGAAAGCUUUUAAUGGCAAAUGAAAUAUUCUUUUUAGAGUAGAACUGUAAAUGAAAAAAUUAAUUUUUCAUAUCAUUUUUUAAUCAAUAAAUGUUAACUCCGUUGCAUUUUAGCCUCACUUGAUUCUUUUUAAUAAUAUAGGAAUUCAUAUUAAUAGUACAGAGGCUAAUUUGAUUCAAUCCCGAUAAUAGAAGGCGUUUGUAGGUACUUUCACCCAAGAACUUCUAUACUUGAAAAAAAUAUUGUUACCCAGGGAGAGGAGAAGAAUACCCGUUCAAGUGAUUGUUGAUAGCAGUUAGGUCUUUCGAAGGGCUCUGAUAGGCACGAGUACUCUCUCCAACACAAGCAUAGUAGCUUCUUGAGCUAUGCGAGAUUAGAGCAUCCAUCUGUAAAUGAAAACAAGAUCUAAUUAAUAAACAACGGCACAUACUUCUUUCCUGUGGAACCACAAAUUCCAACUAUAUUACUCAGAGUCUCAGACUCUUCGGGGUUUUUUUUUGUUUUGUAUGUACCAUGUUCAGACACCAGUCUCAUGUCUCUAUACACAUGUAUAUCAAACCAUGUACAAGGAUAUAGCCUAAAAAAGCCUUCCAGAUACAUGAAAAAACUAGAAAAUUCUGAACAUACCCAUCCCAGAAACAUUCCCAUAUCACACACUCAAACCUGAGAGCCCGAGUAACAUAGGAUUCAAAUACCAACAGCUAAAAAUAGAAUAAUUUUCUAUGAUACCUUGUUCAGUCAAUCAAGAGUCAUAACCCGAGAUUCAACUUUUCCUACAAGAUUCAUAGAACUUAAAAUCGGAAUUUUAAAGGAUCUUUUUCUUUUAUUGGUCUUUUACAAGUGCUGCAUCUUGGACAAAGUGCAGCAUCUCUUGAGUGGCAAUAGUUCUAAGCAAUCAACUAAACUUUUUCCUGUUUGCUCUAGAAGGCUGGUCAAAUCUUAAAUGUACGAGUCUGAUUUUCUACUAAAUGGAAAAUUGGCGACUCAAAGUCAACUCAAUGGAGAGACCAAAAAAAGAAAAACAGAUUUUAAGUACCUUGGAUGUCCGCAAUGGAGACACAUAUACGUUAUGCGUUGCAGAUACUUUCUUUGGGGACAUAUCAGGGAGACUUGGAAAAGGAGAAACUUUAGGAGAUCCAGGGCAUGUACCUAAUUAGGCAAAAUGAAGACAGAACAAGUAAAAUUAGAUAACCUGCAGAUGCAGCAAGAAAAGAAUAUAAAACUGAAACCUGGGUACAAUAAUGGUCUAAAUGAAACAUUUACCAUCAUUACUAUUGUUGGCUUCAGCAACUCUACUCGUUCUUGUGGUUGUUCCAGCAGAACCAAGUUCUCCCAGCAAAGGCUUUAUGGAAGGAACGAAUGUUUCGUUGUAGAAUGCAAUGAUAUCAACGUUGUCCUGCCCAGUUCUCUGUUUACAUAUCAUUAAAAUGGUUAAAAUUUCCUCGAAAAGGAGGGAGAAAAGAAACUGGAGAUGAGAUAUCGUACCCCAUUUCUUCGUGCAGAUGACCUGUCAACAAAUACACUUUGGAAAACUUGUGGCUUACAUUGUGGUUGCUUCUUAUAGUUGCAAAUAAUUUCUUUGAAAGUCAGGCGCAACUGAGAUAUCUGCAAGUCAUUCCUUCAGGAAGUAAGAGGAAAUAGUGCAGAUAAAUUUAACUGUGGCUAAAAUGAUCUCAUAAGAAGUGCAGACCUUCGCGACUACAUAGAAACAACAAAGGAUGAUCUGGUCAAUAUGACGGUUAAAGAACAAAGAAGUCCUCUGGUUAAGUAUUUUUUGGAAAAGAGAAUACACACUCUCCCUUAUCUGUUGAGACAGUUGUAGCCUCUCAACCAUGCCAUUAAUCCGGACAGCAGCCAACUUAUUAAUCUGGGCGGUACAAAAAAAGAAAAAGAAAAAGCAAAAUGUAAGACAUGUAGUAGAUGAUAACCACUGAGUUUAAAUCAAAUUCAAUAGUAAGUACUUGUGGGCAAUUUGCCACAAGAAAAUUAUAUCGCAGUAGAUUUACAUUUUACAAUCAAGUACUAGGAGGUUAAAUUUUUGAACCAGUUAAAAGUGUAUUAAGGUACACCAUAGUUUCAUAAAAAAGUCUAAUUCAUCUCAUGUUUUGAUACCUUGCUAAAAAAUAUAUUUAUUCCUGUUUCCGCACAUGUUUCUCCUCCACCACCAGGGUUAGGGCGUGUUGGACUACAAAAAAAAGUACCCAAAAAGAAAAUGCAGUAAGCCAGAGCAAUUAGUACAGGUCUCCACUUCCUUAGAACUUGCACCCUACAAUACCUGGCAAAUGCAGAUUGCAAAGGUGCCUUCUUAAGAUUGCUUAAUGCUAAUAGACGAUCCUUCACUGGUGAUGUAAAAGCAUUCCGUUCAACCAACACACUCCUCAACUCCGUGCAAGGUCUCAUGGGAGACCUGACAUCCCCAUUUUGUCCUGACAAAAGUAACAUGACAAUGUAAAUUAAGUUCAGGAUAGAAUACAUUGUGAGAAAGAACCAUAAUAAAAUCCGGUAACACAAGUUACUGCAUUAAACAAGAAAAUUGGCAUACUGGUCACAGUUUCUCCAUACCUGAAAAUAUAACUGCUAAAAUUAAGCUAACAAUGUUGCAUACCUAAGAUUGAGCUACCAGCAUUCCCCGUUGAUGUUUCAUGCUUCUGCAAAGGAGGCACCGGAGGUGUACCUCCAGAAAAGUUUAUAUGUGUUGCAAUUGCAUCCAAAGGUGGCAUUGGUUCUGCCAAUAAGCCAAGACGAUUUAUUUCGGCAGAUAGGGCAGGUUUUGCAACUAUCAAAGAAUUGUACAUUGAGGAACCUUUAUCCCACACCAUGCUCUCCAAAAGCCUCUCUUCCAGAGAAUUUAGAUGCCGCCUCAGUUCCCUUGGUAGAGACUCCUCAUGUCUAAUAAAACUCUCUAUCACC